UAAGUACAGGAAUUUGUUCAUAGUGGGGUUUGCUGACAGCUGAAACAGCUGUUUCAUAUGUUCAUGGUUUGUCUGUGUUAGAUAGUUUAGGAAAAUUUUCUUGCUUCUUGUUUAUUGGAAAAUGCUGGGCUCCAUUGGUUUAAGGCUGUUUGGCUGCAUUUUACUGUGGUAGCCUAAGCAUUAUUCAUUUUCAUUGUGCCAGGUGCUGAA
rnacentral:misc_RNA from 1 species